UAAGAAAAUAAAAAAUAAAAAUCUGUGUAAUUUCUGCAGCUUUUUAUGUUAAUGGUCUUGCAGGUUGGGGGAAAAUUAAAACUUGAAGAAGCUCUUAGAAAGCUGUUUAGUGAUGUCAAAUUUCUACAAGCACAUUGUGCUGCAGCAAAACAAGUGUAUCAUACCCUAUCAAGUGGUUUGGUUCAAAACGUUUGGAAUCUAUUACAUAUUCAGAUUCUCCAACGAGCUUUGAGCUAAAAAGUAAAAGAUCAUCAUACAACAACAGAAAUGUAGGCGUGAUGAACUUCUCAGAAAGCCAUGAAGGGGGCAAGAGAAUUGAUUGCUGCUCGUUCCAACUCCAAGAGAGUGAAGUUUAUUUUCAAACAGAAACUCGUCACAUGGCAUAGCUGAAGGGCCAGAGCUACCAUGACCGUACUCUUCGUAUUCUUGGUCUUGCAGCUGCUGUAGAACCGGGUGAUUCAGGAAAUCCACUCUUUCAACAAACCUUCAUCUAGCUUGCCCUACUACUACAGCCAAGUGACCUGGAGGGACAUCCCAGGGUGGCUUCUUUUCACCAACUCCGGCAAGCCUCAGCUUCACAUGCAACCAUUCUUUUUCAGCUUCCAAUGUUGCAGAUCAUGCCUUGUCUAGAAUAUUGCUACAUGGGCGGAGCCAUAUCAAUGUGAAGUGACAACUCAGACAUUCUUGAUAAGGGUUGUUCAAGGUGGACAUGGGUAUUUAUUCUUGGGGCUCUCCGGUUUUUGCUUCAACAAUUUAUUCAUUUACCGUGCAAAGGCCUAAGGGAAAACACAACAAGGUAAAGUAUCUUGUAACUGCUAAUUGCAUGAUGUAAAGAUAAUAUCGAGUGAAACAUGUCGAGUGAUUUGGGUUUUCUGUUGUUAGAUUUCCUGCAUUACCACCUUUGCUUAGUUUUUUACUGGGAUAAAAGUGAAACCCUGAUAACUUGAUAUGAUUGACGUUAUCACAUCCUAACUUCUUUGUCCAUAACAAUUUUUGCUAAUAUGGCAAGCAGUUGGCAGAAUUGUAGUACUUCUUUACCAUUUUUUGGUGACUCAAUUGUAGAGAACUUGAAAUGCAAGGGAUCUCUGCAUUUGGAUGAAAUUGAAUCCUUAAGAUAGGACAGAAUUCUGGCUAGCAUGUGUCGGUCGGGGAGUCCUUGGGACCACAAUCUUAUUUUCAUGGGCUCUCACAGAGGAGGAUUCUCUCCUCUCCUAUUCCCAUGCACGCAUCACAUGCAUUGGUGGGUGAACAUAUUCUUCAUACCACAUGCGUAUGUAGGAGUCUCUGUUGUAUUGUCAAAUUUUUCAUGCUUUUGCGUAUGUGACAUGUCCUCUUUUGGGGUGGCAACCCGGGGGUUUGGGUGCCGGUGUUUUAUAGUAGAACGAUGUAUGACACAUUGUAAAGAAUUUAAAGAGUUACAUAUUUUUCUUUCAUGAA